AUUGCCAGCCAAACAUUCUUUGUUUGCUUUUAAAAAAGAAAAUCUGCGGAAGCUAAGCAGGGUCGGCCUGGUUAGUAGUUGGAUGGGAGACCACUUGGAAAUACCGGGUGCUGUAAGCU
rnacentral:rRNA from 1 species